CGAGCGUCAUUAUAACCCUCAAGCUCUGCUUGGUAUUGGGCACCACCGGCUCUGGUGUGCCUCAAAAUCAGUGGUCGGCGCCACCUGGCUUCAAGCGUAGUAAAUAUCCUCGCUCUGGAGGCUCUGGUGUGUGCCUGUCAGAAUCAAUAAUUAUCUAUAAGGUUGACCUCGGAUCAGGUAGGGAUACCCGCUGAACUUAA
rnacentral:misc_RNA from 1 species